rnacentral:rRNA from 1 species
GUUGAUCCUGCCGGAGGUUACUGCUAUCGAGGUUCGACUAAGCCAUGCGAGUCGAAUGUAGCAAUACAUGGCGAACUGCUCAGUAACACGUGGACAACCUGCCCUUAGGACGGGGAUAAACCCGGGAAACUGGGUAUAAUACCCGAUAGGUCUCGAUUGCUGGAAUGCAUCGAGAUUUAAAGCUCCGGCGCCUAAGGAUGGGUCUGCGGCCUAUCAGGUAGUAGUGGGUGUAGCGUACCUACUAGCCUACGACGGGUACGGGUUGUGAGAGCAAGAGCCCGGAGAUGGAUUCUGAGACACGAAUCCAGGCCCUACGGGGUGCAGCAGGCGCGAAAACUUUACAAUGCUGGCAACAGCGAUAAGGGAACCUCGAGUGCCAGGUUACAAAUCUGGCUGUCGAGAUGCCUAAAAAGCAUUUCAUAGCAAGGGCCGGGCAAGACCGGUGCCAGCCGCCGCGGUAACACCGGCGGCUCGAGUGGUAACCGUUAUUAUUGGGUCUAAAGGGUCUGUAGCCGGCCGGAUAAGUCUCUUGAGAAAUCUGGCAGCUUAACUGUCAGGCUUUCAGGAGAUACUGUCUGGCUCGAGGCCGGGAGAGGUGAGAGGUACUUCAGGGGUAGGGGUGAAAUCUUGUAAUCCUUGAAGGACCACCAGUGGCGAAGGCGUCUCACCAGAACGGACCUGACGGCAAGGGACGAAAGCUAGGGGCACGAACCGGAUUAGAUACCCGGGUAGUCCUAGCCGUAAACGAUACUCGCUAGGUGUCGGCCACGGUGCGACCGUUGUCGGUGCCGUAGGGAAGCCGUGAAGCGAGCCACCUGGGAAGUACGGCCGCAAGGCUGAAACUUAAAGGAAUUGGCGGGGGAGCACCACAACGGGUGGAGCUUGCGGGUUAAUUGGAUUCAACGCCGGGAAAGG